CCUACGGGGGGCAGCAGUGGGGAAUAUUGCGCAAUGGGCGAAAGCCUGACGCAGCGACGCCGCGUGAGGGAUGAAGGUCUUCGGAUCGUAAACCUCUGUCAGCAGGGAAGAACGGUCACUGUGCUAAUCAGCAGUGAAUUGACGGUACCUGCAAAGGAAGCACCGGCUAACUCCGUGCCAGCAGCCGCGGUAAUACGGAGGGUGCGAGCGUUAAUCGGAAUUACUGGGCGUAAAGCGCUCGUAGGCGGUAUGUCAAGUCAAGGGGGAAAUCCCCGCGCUCAACGUGGGAACUGACUUUGAAACUGGCAAACUGGAGUGUGUGAGAGGAUAGUGGAAUUCCAGGUGUAGGAGUGAAAUCCGUAGAUAUCUGGAGGAACAUCAGUGGCGAAGGCGACUAUCUGGCACAUAACUGACGCUGAGGAGCGAAAGCGUGGGUAGCAAACAGGAUUAGAUACCCCGGUAGUC
rnacentral:rRNA from 1 species